UACACGUCUCACCUGCAGCUGACCUGAACAUAGAUAGCGUAAAAGAUUGAUAUUAUCUGCGCCAGUCACUGUAUUGUUUGGGGUACUGGAUCACAACACAUUUAUAUCUAAAGGCAGCAGUGGGCCAUGGAUACCAUCCUUGUUGUGAUUGGAACCCUGCUAGCGGCCAUAUGUCUGAAGAAAGUGUUUGGUGUGAUACAGAAAUACAGAGUGAAUAUUAACUUAUAUUACGAGAAGAAAAUACAACCGAUCGGGAAGUUCCAUCCAAUAUGGGGACAUCUUUACCUGUUUUCAGAUUUUAACCGCCUGAUAGAUGUCUGCGGUGAGGUGGUGGCACAAACAAAAUGUCGAAUCGUGUCUUACUGGAUAAUGGGUUUCUAUCCCGUACUUAACGCUUGUCACUCUACCACUGCUAAAGUGGUUCUGAAAUCUUCGGAACCUAAACCAAAGCACCUAGGUGGAGGAUACAAUAGUCUUAUGGACUG